rnacentral:rRNA from 1 species
GCAGUCGAACGGGAUCCAUCAAGCUUGCUUGGUGGUGAGAGUGGCGAACGGGUGAGUAAUGCGUGACCGACCUGCCCCAUACACCGGAAUAGCUCCUGGAAACGGGUGGUAAUGCCGGAUGCUCCAGUUGAUCGCAUGGUCUUCUGGGAAAGCUUUCGCGGUAUGGGAUGGGGUCGCGUCCUAUCAGCUUGACGGCGGGGUAACGGCCCACCGUGGCUUCGACGGGUAGCCGGCCUGAGAGGGCGACCGGCCACAUUGGGACUGAGAUACGGCCCAGACUCCUACGGGAGGCAGCAGUGGGGAAUAUUGCACAAUGGGCGCAAGCCUGAUGCAGCGACGCCGCGUGAGGGAUGGAGGCCUUCGGGUUGUAAACCUCUUUUAUCGGGGAGCAAGCGAGAGUGAGUUUACCCGUUGAAUAAGCACCGGCUAACUACGUGCCAGCAGCCGCGGUAAUACGUAGGGUGCAAGCGUUAUCCGGAAUUAUUGGGCGUAAAGGGCUCGUAGGCGGUUCGUCGCGUCCGGUGUGAAAGUCCAUCGCUUAACGGUGGAUCCGCGCCGGGUACGGGCGGGCUUGAGUGCGGUAGGGGAGACUGGAAUUCCCGGUGUAACGGUGGAAUGUGUAGAUAUCGGGAAGAACACCAAUGGCGAAGGCAGGU